CAUAUAAACCCUGCUAGGCUACCUGCCUAGCGAGGGCAUCUGCAUCCCGCUUUCGAUCUCGCUCGCUCGAUCUACCUUGCUGGAGGUUUUUUACCGCGCUGUCAAUAAUCCCACGGCCUGUUUCUUUUGACGCUACUCUUUCUUGCUCAAGCGGAUGACGGGUGGGCCUUGUGCUCUCGCGGGCCUGAGCUUGGCAGUGUGCGUGCUUUGUGUGUGUCCCUGCGUUUGGGUGAACAAAAUAUUAACUGCGUCGGUCGCGUCCUCCUCCCCACCAAUCGCGCAUCCUCCUACCCACCAAUCCCCCAUCCUCAUCCAGCCCACCAAUCCCCGCCUCCUCCUCCCCACCAACCCUAGCCAUGCCCUCGCCGCCACCUUUCCUUCCCCGUUCAUCCUCUCCAGCAGCCGGCGCCACUUCUGUCUCUCCUCCUUUCUCCUUGUCACCAUCAUCGCGAGUGCCCACCCGUUGGAUCAGGUGGUCAGUGCGGGAUGCAAUAGCGCAUCUGGACGGAGGAGAACGCGACGAUUGCAUCUCCUGGCAACGGCAGGGAGGACGGAUGGAUGAGGAGGCGACAGCUCGAGAGUUUUUAUGGUGGGUGUGAAGGAUCUUGGGAAGGUGAGGAGGACAGAGGUGGGGGAAGGACUGUGAGUCCGGAGAAUCCAGGCUGCACAUAUAAAUCCUCUCCAUCUUCCUCUCCCUUUUGAUUCCCCCAGUUCUCCAGUAAUCUGAUUUUGAUUUCUUAUUUUUUUCCUAAGCACGAUGUGUGCAGAUCUGAGAAAGAAUAGAAGAGGAAGAAUACCAAGGAAGAGUUUGGUGAAGAACAAUAAGGUGACAAUGUGAGUUGCAUUGACAGAAUCCAUGUAUUAAGCUGAGGCAUUUUUGGCAGCUGCAGCAACCUGACAAUUAAUUUGUUCUCAUCCAAGGUAAUUUACUUCCCCCCUUUAUGUAUCAUGGAUGGAUAUAUGUGCUGGUUGGUUGUCAUUACUGAAGCUAGAAUUGUUGAUGAUGACUACCUUUGAGCAGGUUUACCGCUUGUCUUGCUAAUGUGAAUUUGUAUGUUUUCAUUUGUUUUUUCUUCUCCAUUUUUUUGUAUAAUCUAUGGACGUUGUAGGAUAAAUGUGAAUUAACAAUACAAGAACUUCCAGAAAGUAUUUUGCAACUUCAGAAAUCCAAAAUUAUGGUUCUGGUGUUAAUGAUCAGGAUGAUGCGAUAGCCUCUUUUGAUCCGUAUCUACUUUUUUCGAAGCUUGAAAGAUAUACUUGCAGCACUUGACUGAAAUGAUCUAACUUGUGUUUCCCUUUUUUCUUUUCAUUUCCAGAAUGCUUUGCUGCUAGCAUAACUGUGAUCCAUUUUUUACUCUACUUUUUCUUAAUCUAUAUACAUGAUUGCCAAUUUCCAACUUCUUAGUUACAGAAAAUAAAACAAAAUUCAGUUUAGAUGUGUCUGUUGUAGGCAUUAAAAGUUUCAUCAGAGCCCUCAUUCUGAACAUUGUUUAAAAUGACACCCUAUUGCCCUUGGUGCAUAUAUAGAUAUUACUUUUUACUUUUUAGUAGAAUAUGGAGCUCUUAUUUGUCGUAUAGUUUCUUUUUUCGUCUGUGCAGUUGUACAUCUUUGCUGCCCCUUUCCUUGGUGCUGACUGAGCUUUGCAUGUUUAUAUUUAUAUUUUCCUGCAUUCUCCCGGUGACCUUUUAUUUUGACAUAUCAAUGAAUUAUGCAUCUCACUCCUUCGGAAGCUAAUCUUUACAUUGACACUGCUAUUUGUCUUGAAAUCCAAAAUUAUGGUUCUGGUGUUAAUGAUCAGGAUGAUGCGAUAGCCUCUUUUGAUCCGUAUCUACUUUUUUCGAAGCUUGAAAGAUAUACUUGCAGCACUUGACUGAAAUGAUCUAACUUGUGUUUCCCUUUUUUCUUUUCAUUUCCAGAAUGCUUUGCUGCUAGCAUAACUGUGAUCCAUUUUUUACUCUACUUUUCCUUAAUCUAUAUACAUGAUUGCCAAUUUCCAACUUCUUAGUUACAGAAAAUAAAACAAAAUUCAGUUUAGAUGUGUCUGCUGUAGGCAUUAAAAGUUUCAUCAGAGCCCUCAUUCUGAACAUUGUUUAAAAUGACACCCUAUUGCCCUUGGUGCAUAUAUAGAUAUUACUUUUUACUUUUUAGUAGAAUAUGGAGCUCUUAUUUGUCGUAUAGUUUCUUUUUUCGUCUGUGCAGUUGUACAUCUUUGCUGCCCCUUUCCUUGGUGCUGACUGAGCUUUGCAUGUUUAUAUUUAUAUUUUCCUGCAUUCUCCCGGUGACCUUUUAUUUUGACAUAUCAAUGAAUUAUGCAUCUCACUCCUUCGGAAGCUAAUCUUUACAUUGACACUGCUAUUUGUCUUGAUCUUAUUUGUACCAUGGAGGAGAAUAACUCUUUAGACCCUACUGUAUGGUAAACUUCUUUGUUCAUCAGAUGUGACAUUUUUAUAACACUAUGUUUUCUGUACAGUUGGGAACUUCUAGAAAAAAUGACAUUUGGUUGGUUCGAUUCCAGAUUGGUCUCACCUUAUUCCUUUUAGAUGGAUGCUAUGGUCUUCCCUGCAGAUGCUGGCCAGUUAAGGUUUGUUGCAAAUAAUAGUGGAUGUUGGGCUGCCUCCACACCGCAAGAGAUGGAGAUGGUUGACGUCGGAACCGGUGGUUGAGGUCGAGUACGCCUCGUUGUCGUCGCCGUCUACAUCCGUUACGUGUGAGGAACUUGCUGUUUCUGGCACCAGAUUCAGCAAGGAGGAUAUCUAUGAGGCCUUUCAUUCUUGUGGGAUUCCCACACAUCUUGCAAGUUCAAGGGGGUGAGCUCAGCUGAAUGCGCGGCGACGUAUUGUACCUUUGCAAGCCGAGUAUCUUGCUCUAAUUUGUUGACAGGGUAAGAGGUCCAGUAGCCAGUGGUUCUUUCAGCACUUCUGAAAUAGUAUUCUUUUAUAUAUAAAAAAACUUAACUGGAAUUUAAGAAAGUUGACACUGCAUCUCUGAGGGCUCAAGAAAGAGACAAGAACUUGUGCUUCAAGCAGCGAAUAUAGCCAGCCUAGAUGAUUCAAAACAAGAACAAGUGUCGGGAAGUUACAGAUGAGGAAGUGCAGCUGGUACGGCCUCUCCGUUUUUGCCCCAAAUCAACCACGGAAAAAACUGCUGGACAAUCAACUUCUUGCCAAUUUAUAGUUGACUUCCUGCUAUGAUUCUCUUCCUAAAAGAAAUUGCAAUCAUCUUGAAACAAGCUACUAUGUGCAUGUCAGGGACAGAAGUUGCUAGAGAAAGCUCCGACAUUAUAAUCUUAGAUGAUGACUUCGCAUCUGUUGUGAAGGGCAAAUCUUCACUGAAUCUUGGAGAGUGAUGGAAGAUAAUGGGCCCAAGCUUUUAGGAACGCCAAGGAUCCAAUUUCAAGCUUUGGCCUCUUCCACAAAUUCGCCGUUCAAUCAGGAGGUGAUCAUUGCAUAGGUCUACUGGAAAUUGGUCCUAGAGGAGCUCUCCAUGAAGUUUCUACAAGAACCAAAAUCAAUCCUACAAGCAUCAGAUAUAUCAGAGGAAGCAUGGUUCCCAAGUGCAUUGCUUAAUAUUCAUGAAUGUUGUCUACAACCAUGGCCUUCCCAAAACAAGACAACACAAUUAUUCUCUGGAGGGACAAGGGAUCUGAUGAUUAUCCAGUGAACUGUAUGUCUUUGAAGGAGCUUUGCACUCAACAGAUGUAUACAUCUUUAAUCAAACUAAGAGUGGGAGAUAUGCAUAAACAUUUUUUGGGAUACAUAACCACUCUUCGAACCUUAGCCAGAUUCUUCAAUCUUUGGGGUUAAUCUUUUUGUGAAAAGAAUUUCAGGAACAUGGAAAAAUGGCCAACUUUGCUUUGUACAAAAAAGGUAGAGAUGAUAAUCUAUUUAUCUCUCACUGAACUACUCUGAAUUUUGUGGUACCUGGUGAAGUUUAAAAAAUGGUUAUUCCUUGCUACCUUUAAUGAU